rnacentral:tRNA from 1 species
GCCUGGGUAGUUCAGUCGGUUAAGCGUCCAACUUUGGCUGAGGUCAUGAUCUCACGGUUCAUGGGUUCAAGCCCCAUCUCGGGCU